rnacentral:rRNA from 1 species
GCAGUCGAGCGAGCGGAACAGCAGAAUCACUUCGGUGAGGACGCUGGGAAAGCGAGCGGCGGAUGGGUGAGUAACACGUGGGGAACCUGCCCUUAAGUCUGGGAUACCACUUGGAAACAGGUGCUAAUACCGGAUAAGAAAGCAGUUCGCAUGAACAGCUUUUAAAAGGCGGCGCAAGCUGUCGCUAAAGGAUGGACCCGCGGUGCAUUAGCUAGUUGGUAAGGUAACGGCCUACCAAGGCAGUGAUGCAUAGCCGAGUUGAGAGACUGAUCGGCCACAUUGGGACUGAGACACGGCCCAAACUCCUACGGGAGGCAGCAGUAGGGAAUCUUCCACAAUGGACGCAAGUCUGAUGGAGCAACGCCGCGUGAGUGAAGAAGGUUUUCGGACCGUAAAGCUCUGUUGUUGGUGAAGAAGGAUAGAGGUAGUAACUGGCCUUUAUUUGACGGUAAUCAACCAGAAAGUCACGGCUAACUACGUGCCAGCAGCCGCGGUAAUACGUAGGUGGCAAGCGUUGUCCGGAUUUAUUGGGCGUAAAGCGAGCGCAGGCGGAAGAAUAAGUCUGAUGUGAAAGCCCUCGGCUUAACCGAGGAAUUGCAUCGGAAACUGUUUUUCUUGAGUGCAGAAGAGGAGAGUAGAACUCCAUGUGUAGCG